rnacentral:rRNA from 1 species
UGGGGGAUAACGCACCGAAAGGUGUGCUAAUACCGCAUAAUCUCUGAGGAGAAAAGUAGGGGAUCGCAAGACCUUACGCUUUUGGAGCGGCCGAUGUCUGAUUAGCUUGUUGGUGAGGUAAAGGCUUACCAAGGCUUCGAUCGGUAGCUGGUCUGAGAGGACGACCAGCCACACUGGGACUGAGACACGGCCCAGACUCCUACGGGAGGCAGCAGUGGGGAAUUUUGGACAAUGGGGGAAACCCUGAUCCAGCCAUGCCGCGUGAGUGAAGAAGGCCUUCGGGUUGUAAAGCUCUUUCAGCCGGAACGAAACGGUUACGAUUAAUACCUGUAACCACUGACGGUACCGGAAGAAGAAGCACCGGCUAACUACGUGCCAGCAGCCGCGGUAAUACGUAGGGUGCGAGCGUUAAUCGGAAUUACUGGGCGUAAAGCGUGCGCAGGUGGUUUUGUAAGUCAGAUGUG